UACGUAGGGGGCAAGCGUUAUCCGGAUUUACUGGGUGUAAAGGGAGCGCAGACGGCGCGCCAAGUCUGGAGUGAAAGCCCGCGGCUCAACCGGGGGACUGCUCUGGAAACUGGCGGAGCUGGAGUGCAGGAGAGGUAAGCGGAAUUCCUAGUGUAGCGGUGAAAUGCGUAGAUAUUAGGAGGAACACCAGCGGCGAAGGCGGCUUACUGGACUGCAACUGACGUUGAGGCUCGAAAGCGUGGGGAGCAAACAGG
rnacentral:rRNA from 1 species